rnacentral:rRNA from 1 species
UGCCAGACUCCUACGGGAGGCAGCAGUGGGGAAUAUUGCACAAUGGGGGGAACCCUGAUGCAGCGACGCCGCGUGGGUGAAGGAGCACCUCGGUGCGUAAAGCCCUAUCGGCAGGGGAGAAACAGACGGUACCUGACUAAGAAGCCCCGGCUAACUACGUGCCAGCAGCCGCGGUAAUACGGAGGGUGCGAGCGUUAAUCGGAAUUACUGGGCGUAAAGCGCCCGUAGGCGGUAUGUCAAGUCAAGGGUGAAAUCCCCGCGCUCAACGUGGGGACUGCCUGUGAAACUGGCAAACUGGAGUGUGUGAGAGGAUAGUGGAAUUCCAGGUGGAGGAGUGAAAUCCGUAGAUAUCUGGAGGAACAUCAGUGGCGAAGGCGACUAUCUGGCACAUAACUGACGCUGAGGAGCGAAAGCGUGGGUAGCAAACAGGAUUAGAUACCCGGGUAGU